rnacentral:lncRNA from 1 species
AGUAUAUGAACCGGGCUAAAGAUUUAAAAUAAAAGCAAAACAAACAUUCUUAUGGUUUUUGUAUUAUCUCUGUAAAAAAACAAAUUAAGUUAAAUAAAUAAAAAAAAGAAAUUAAUAAAAAAAGAAAACAGAAAAAGAAAUGGGAACGGGGAAAAGAACACAGAGGAGUUCGUCUUCCUCCCUCUCUCUCGCAUCUUACGAGCUCAAAACUUCCCCAACAAUGGCAACCUCACGCACCCCAGACUUCACAUUUCACUCAAUCUCACUCUUGCUCUCAACGAAACCC